ensembl:lncRNA novel transcript, antisense to MGMT
UCCAACAUAGAUUUCCACGGAGAGCACGGCCCUGGGCAUGCAGAACAGCCAAGGGGAUCCUCCCAAAGAGCACAGCAGAGCACCCUGCCAACCCUCAGAACCUUCCCAGCUCAGGCGUCUCCCUGCAGGCUGAUAAACUCCAGUGGCUCUUCCCAAGCGCGGAGCAGUUCCUCAGGAUGAAAAAGAGCCUAGUCCACCUGUCCAUAAGUAACAGUGGCUGCCCCGUUGGCCCAGUACAAAUCGCCACUCUGCCCAGGAAGGCAGCCUCAGGUUCCCCUAACUGGCAAGCAAACAUAUUCUGCGCCAUCACGAGCUGAAGGGACAUGUGGGAAUCAGAAGGAAAACUUGUCUUUUCUGGGAAGAUUCUAAUCAAGACUAAAAUAUUGGUGUGAGACCAUCUCUGAUUUUCAUCUGAGUCUCCACUGGGUCCACUGACUUCCGAAGUCCUCGCCGCCGCACUGGGCAUGCUGACCAUCCUACGAGUUAUGUCCUGCUUGCCUCACCUGUUAUUCAUCCUUUCGUUUCCCUCCUCUGCCUUCCCUUGGAUAAAUCAGGCCAAUGUCUCUGUCCUCCAAAGACACACGGCCCGGGGUCCAACAGGCUGCAGGAACUUCAGUGCCUGCUAUCUGCUUUUCUUCAGUGGGCCCCACUCCCAAAGCUACACCAUGAGAUGGAAACUGUCCCCGGGGGAGCAGGACCAUCCCCAGGGCUGCCAGGAAAUCUGCCGUGAGUGAGGUGCACAAACCCUGGGCACAGUCCACAAACCCAGUCAAUCUUAAAACUGAUUAAUAAUUGUUGGCACAAAAUGUCCCAGUGUGUGAAAUCCUGGAUAAAAGGAAAAGGAACUGAUGGGCAAGAAGAUUCGCGCAGGCGCUGAGCGUGUUGCCUCACCAAGGCAGGGGGCCUGGAGGCCCCAUCGAACUCAGACAGGUGGACGGUGCUGCAGGGUACACAUGGGAAGACCCCUGCACGGGGCUAGCAGGGAGAGGGUGUCUCCAAGCCCUUGGGAAGGGCACAGGCAAUCGCCUUGGCUGAGAUGGCAGAAUGGCAUGCGUUCAAGUUGUUUCUUGAGGAAGAGGGUGUGGGGUCUACAUUCUCCCCUAGUAUACAAAUGGAGAUACCUGUUUGAAAGGUUAUAUAGAUUAGGCUGGGCACAGUGGCUUAUGCCUGUAAUCCUAACUCCUUUGGAGGCCAAGGCAGGAAGACUGCUUGAGACCAGGAGUUGGUGACUAGUCUGGGCAACAUAGCAAGACUUGUCCUUUCAAAAAAAUUAGCCAGGCGUGGUGGUGCACGUAUGUAGUCCCAGCUACUUGGGAGGCUGAGGUGGGAGGGAUCACUUGAGGCUACAGCAAGCUAUGAUUGCACCACUGUACUCCAUCCUGGGCAAAACAGCGAGACUCUAUAACUAAAGUUAUAUAUAUACAUACAUAUAUAUAUACUUAAAAAGGUUAUAUAUAUGUUAGAAACUGAAAAGAAAGCAAUGCAUGCCAGGCACGGGCUGAUCUACUUCCUAAUUCUGGAUGGUGGCUGGUCCAGUGCAUUGGGAACUGGCCAUAUCCCCCCAACUCCAAACUCCAUCAGCUGGCAUGUGCAGACCAGAGCCCCAGCCUCCUUCCUACCACUUGGCAUCUUCCCCAACUUGGUAUCCCCGCUGAACUGCUGCUCAGCGCGGCUCAGGGAGCACCAGGUCUGAACAGACUCCUGGCAAACUUGUCUGUUCACAGUGAUGUGACUGGGUGUUUUGUGUCUUCUCUUCAUAACUAGACUGUAUGCUCCUAAGCGCAAGGGCUUCAUUGUAAACUUUGCUUAUAUCUGCAAGGCACUAAUCAGUUAUGCACCCUACAGCACCCUACACUACGCAGAGUAAUCAGCCACUAAGGAGUAGUGAAGGAUCUGACAACCAGAGAGCUCGGUAAGGACGAUGCCAUCCGGCUGGCUCCUCUGCAGGUGGCCACAGAUUGAGCAGCAGAGAUUAGGAACAGAAUUCAGAGACAUAAGUCAUUCAUCUAGGGCUGUAUGCUCGGCCCACGUAGAUCCUGCCAGCCAACGAAACGGGGCUCCAUGCAUUCCACAAGUCAGAGUCACUCAACAUUCCAGGGGCUACUCAAAUCUCCUUUAGCCAUGUGACGAAGCCCCUCAACUCACUAACUCUAAAUACUUUCUUUUUUUUUUUACAGGCCAUUUAUUGAAAGUCAGGAUUACAUUUAUUCACAAUAUCAUAUUCUUAAUGAGAGCAUAUCAAACCUUAUUUGGAUGCAAUCCAGAACUUAUUUAAACAGUUAAGCACAUAUACACAAAACAUAAAACAAAGAAAGAAAGCCAUGUAAUGUUAUUGGACACUAAAGAUAAAUUAGCUUUCUGAGAUCAGCAAUUGAUAACUGAAGUCUGCUGAUAGUUAACCAUACCUCUGUGUACACUUAAAAGCUAACCUCACCUAUGUGAAGUCAUACUGAAUUCAAAGAGGAAAGAUGAGAUACUUACAUGAUUCAAUACCGUGUAAACUAGACCGCAUCAGGUUCCAGCACAGAUCAUGCCACUGACAGCUUACAAUACCACAAUUUAAUUUCAAGACAAACACUCCAGAUUUCAAAUUUGAGAUGAAUAUAUGUGAUCUGAGAAUUACUUCCAGAGCUUUCAAAGUGGAAUCGUAUCUCUGCUUAAACACCAAAACAUGGCUAAAAACUGAUGCGAAGAUGAGAAAAUCUCUCACACUGUGGGGAGAUCAGAGUAAGGGCAACAUACUGCUAAUCAUUCGAUUCAGGUCAUACCAAUCAGCAUCUUAUCCUUGAGAUCAGGUAUUCCGUCUCAAAGCAAAAUUAAUGAAUAAACCAGAAAUCUUUUAUCGCCUUCUGUUGUGAAACAGUUAUCCACUCCAGAGGAAGAAACAGGAGGAAAUUAAGCAAGUCUAUGCCAUAAACCACUGCUCCUAAUCAAAAGAUGUAAAACAAACACCGUUCUGUGAUACAAUCAAUUGCUAC